rnacentral:rRNA from 1 species
CCAAGGGAAACUUUGGCUAAUACCGUAUGUGCCCGUAAGGGGAAAGAUUUAUCGCCAUUGGAUGAGCCCGCGUUGGAUUAGCUAGUUGGUGGGGUAAUGGCCUACCAAGGCGACGAUCCAUAGCUGGUCUGAGAGGAUGAUCAGCCACACUGGGACUGAGACACGGCCCAGACUCCUACGGGAGGCAGCAGUGGGGAAUAUUGGACAAUGGGCGCAAGCCUGAUCCAGCCAUGCCGCGUGAGUGAUGAAGGCCUUAGGGUUGUAAAGCUCUUUCAGCGGGGAAGAUAAUGACGGUACCCGCAGAAGAAGCCCCGGCUAACUUCGUGCCAGCAGCCGCGGUAAUACGAAGGGGGCUAGCGUUGUUCGGAAUCACUGGGCGUAAAGCGCGCGUAGGCGGAUUGUUAAGUCGGGGGU